UACGUAGGGUGCGAGCGUUAAUCGGAAUUACUGGGCGUAAAGCGUGCGCAGGCGGCUUUGAAAGACAGAUGUGAAAUCCCCGGGCUCAACCUGGGAACUGCAUUUGUGACUGCAAGGCUAGAGUACGGCAGAGGGGGAUGGAAUUCCGCGUGUAGCAGUGAAAUGCGUAGAUAUGCGGAGGAACACCAAUGGCGAAGGCAAUCCCCUGGGCCUGUACUGACGCUCAUGCACGAAAGCGUGGGGAGCAAACAGG
rnacentral:rRNA from 1 species